CUAUCUUUCUGAGUUUUAUGAUUAAUAACAUUUUCUAAACUUGAAAUUUUGAAAAUAUGUGUGCAUUUUUCCUCAAAGAGUCAGGUUCAAGGCCAUGGCCUAGUAGUGUAAUACAACUAAAUUCUGAACAAUUUGCAUUAAGUUAUUUAAAAAUGUGAACUUAUGAAUUCGCUAGUGUAUACGUGCCUGUUCUACAUAUUGGGGUGUUGUAGGUCAAAACAAUGGCCCCAGAAUAUGUCCACAUCAUAAUCCCUUGAACCUGUGAAUCUUAUCUUAUGUGGCAGGAAAAAGACUUUGCAAGUGUGAUUAAGUCAAGGAUCUUGAAAUGGGGGAUUAUCUAUUACCCCAGUGGAUCUGAUGUAAUCACAAGGGUCCAUAUAGGAGGGAUGCAGGAAGGUCAGAGUCAGAGGAGAAGGGGAUGUGGUGACAGAGACAGCGAUUUGACUGAUGCACUUUGAAGAUGGAGGAAGGGGCCACAGCCAAGGAGUACAGACAGCUACCAGAAGCUGAGAAAGGCAAGGAAACAGCUUCUCUCAUCAGAGCCUUCAGAAGAAACCAGCCUUGUCAAUAUUUGGGUUUUGCCCUAGUGAGACCAGUUUUGCUCUACUGACCUUAAGAACAGGAAGAGAAUACAUUUGUGAGGUUUUAAUCCACUAAAUUUGUAGUAAUUUAAUUUGUCACAGCACCAAUAAGAAACUAACACGUAGAGCUUGUGAGUUUAUAAAUCUAUCCGCUGCUGUUUUUGAGGUAGUGUUUAAUUUUAUUUGUUUCUUUAUUAUUCUUUCAGGCCUGUUUGCCUCUGCUUCUAACAUUCCAGUGUUGAGUUCACAAAUGUUUGAACUUGAAACCCAUUCCCUUUUAGUCCUUAUCUUCAUAAACUGAUAAAUACACUGAGCAUCUCCUCACAUGGCUGAUCAUGGAGUCAUAACAAUUGAUUCUGAUCCAAACACGGUUCUCAAGACUGAAAAUACUAUUAUUUAGAGUUUUCUGAGAAGUAGGGUGAGAAACUUAGCCUCCCUGGGAGUAACCUUCAGGUUUAGGUUUGCCACAGAUCAUAGUAGUUGAAAGAUUGUUGCCCUAUUAUUCAUAAUUUUGUUCCAAUUCUUUUAUGUACACAUAAAUUUCCUAUCUGUCCACAUUUGCUGUGAACUUGCCAUGAAUUCUACAAACUUCCCUACACACUGUAUGAAGCAACAUUUUCUUUAGUUUUUAAUCUUUCUUCACAUUGCUCCCCUUUAUCUUACUAUACUGUUGUUUAGCAAAAAAGCCUGUGUUCUCCUACAAUAUAAAAUAUUAUAUUCAUUGUCACCAUUUGUCUUCUUAUUCUUUUCUUUACUGAACUCAUAAACUUCUGUCUUCCCACACUUUUGUAGAGCUUUUUGUUCUUCACAAAACUUUCAAACUUGAUUGUUUCCUUUUUUGGAGCAGAGCAAAUUUUGGACAAAACUAUGUAUUAAGCAAAAUGUGCCCUUAUUGCUUUUAUAGAUUUUUAGUCAGUAAGACAUUAUUAGUUUUUUUUUUCCCUAAAACAUAGGUCUACUUUCUUUAACACCUAUCAUUGACUUCAUUCCAGAAUUAUCCUUAUGUUUGUAUGAGCUUUCCAGCAAGAUAGAGUUGAUAUCUAAUAAACUGUAUUGUUGGCAGAAAACCAAGAGGAUCUCCCAGGGAGUCAUUACAGUUUAAAGGAAAAUAUUCAGUCAUAAACUUUUCCAAAAUUAAAAUAAUAAAACUUCGCAGCUAAUCAUAUGUGAUAAACAGGUUAUUUUGGAUAAAUUGUUUUCUUUCUCAACAUCAUAAACUUCUCCAAAAAUUCAUACAACUGAACUUGUUCCGUUUUUGGUAGCCUAAAGUAAUUUGUGUCCAUGGGAAUUCUCUAAGAAUUAGCUGCGUGUAUAGUGAAAAAGAUUGUCAUUGCACAGAAUGAUUAAUUCAAAGUCACUGCAUGAAAAUGCCUUUAGGUGAAAACAAACAUUGUCCUUAUCUUGUGUGUAAUACUAAGCAUGCACGCAGAAAGAAAUGGCCUAAUUAUAGACUUAUUUUAUUUAUUUUUCCCUUGAAUUAUCUUUUAGUGCUUCGUUAAUAUUUUAAUUCACUGAAUGUAGAAAAAUUUGUCAAAGUUUUUCUAAAAUUCUCAUUAACAAAUCACAAAUAGAUAUUCCAGAUAAAGGUUAAAAUUCAUAUCUAGUAUUGGCACUUUGGUUUUUUGAAGUGUUUUAUAAUUUCUAACAAGACACCGCUACAGCACCUUUGGUUACCAAGAGUAUCAAUAUCACCACAUAGCAUGUUUGCUGAUGGAGUAGGAAAACUCUCCUUGACACAUUCCAAUUCUUAAAACAAAGGUACUGUGACUCGAUAUCUGUCUUUCUGAGGCUUUCUGUUUCCUGAUAUUAGUUAACUGACUACCCUUUGCUGCCAGUCAAAUCACAUAGAUGGUGACAUCAACAGAGCAGCAGUUCUGAGAGACGUUACAUUUGCAAUUUUGGCAGAGGUAAGAAAUUUUGUUGAUGUUCUGAAUAAAAAAAAUGUCUAUGGUUGGAAAUCAAUAGUCAAGUUCCAAUGAUAAAAUAGGAGUUCAGGGAUUGUGUAUAACAUAUUCUAAAUCUGAAUAUUUACUCAGAAGAUACAUUCAUGGCAUUGAUAUUUAUGUGUGUGUAUUAUAUAGAUUCAUGACAUGUCUUGUCUCACUACAAAAUAUUAUCCUAAAAUCUAAACAUUGAUGUUUCAUAUAAAUUAUAUACAGGGUUGACUUUUCAUGAGGCUUGGAAUCUUCUCUUGUAUGUACAGAUACCCAAUGGCUUCUGGUUAUCAAUUCCUCUAGGCCUGUUUUGCUUAAACAAGUGCAAUCUGUUAAGAGUUUAUUUAUAGUUUCAUGGUUUGGAAAAAAGGUCCUUACAAUGAGGAUGGCUUUUCACAAAGGCAAAGAAGAAAGGGGAAAUUAUAGACAAAGCAAGGAUCUAGUUUUUGUUGUUGCUUUGCUGUUGUUAUUGCUAUUGUUAAAGAAAUAUCAAUUUGGUUCAAAAAGAGUGGGGAGAAAAGAUUUAUGACUAAAAAUAAAAUCCAGGGAUCACUUACCUUAUUCUUCUUAUGUUCUCUUUUGACCAAAAUUCCUGAAGGGUGUGAUCUUGCUGGUCACAGAGUUCCUGCCGAAUGUGGGGUUAGGUGAAACUGGAGAUGAAUAAAAUUCGGAUCAACAAUAUGGAAUACUGUGAUAUAGCAGAAGUUUUCAAACCUGGCUACACCUUAGAACCAUCUGGAGGUCUUACACAAAAAAAUUACUUUUGCUGGAAGAGACAGGAUGCCAAAACCUGUCCCCAGAUGGCACAUCGGUACAAUUAUGAGCUUAAAUGUCAUUUCUGUGGGUGAGCUCAAGAUAAUCACAAGGAUCCUUAUUAAGAGUCAGAGAGAGAAGAGAGAAUAGAAGCGGAAGUCAGCGAGGAGAGAAGAUGGUACACUGCUGGUUUUGAAACGGAAGAAGUGACCACAAGACAAGGAAUGUGGUCAACCUCUCUAAGUUGGAAAAGGCAAGGAAACAAAUUCUCCUCUAGAUUUUCCAAAAGGAAUGCAGCCUUGCAGAUCCAUUUUUAGUCUUCUGAUCUCCAGAACCAUAAGAUAAAAAAUGUGGUGUUUUAAAUCA